AAUGAUUACAACCCGAGUGGAAGAUACAUCAUCUCGGAGCUCUGGAACUAUGCAGUAAAUCAGAAGGCUACUUUGGAGGAGGGAGUUACUGUGUUGCUAAACCUGUGGAAACGGAAGAGAGGACCAGACUGAGAGUUUGAUGCUUCCGUGCGCUUUACCUAAGCUCUUUAGGCAGCCCUGGUAGCACGGGGAGAAAGAGGGAGGGAAGUGAUAACGAGAGACAAGUACUAAGAAGAGAUGACCAGACUGAGUUUGAUGCUUCCGUGCGCUUUACCUUAGCUCUUUAGGCAGCCCUGGUAGCACGGGGGUGGGGUGGGGUGGUAAGUGAUAACGAGAGACAACUACUUUAAACUCAAAACAACAAUUUGAACCAUGUUGCAUGGAUUCUUGUCUGAAUAAGAAUUAAGAUGCGCCUCUGUUUGUUAGGCCUGUCUUUAUCCUUUUAUUUUUGGCUUGAGCUCGAAGGGUAUAAUGCUCUUCCUCUUGACUGAAUUUGGUCUUCCUUUGCAGAUCAGGCUGAAUUUUGCCUGGUAGCGAGGAUGCAUAAAUAUGCUUGAGCCUAUCACUUUAUUUAUUUAUUUAUUUUUUUAAAAUUCAUUCUACCGACAACCUGAAAGGCUAAGUUGGCAGUUAAAAAGAAUUGAGACAACGAGGCAUCCGUUUCAAGCUUAAAGGCCUGUAAGUUUUCAUUUGCCCAAGUUACUAAAAUAUAAUUAGUUUCACUUUCACAUUUUUCAUGGAUAUUGC
rnacentral:lncRNA from 1 species